GCCUUCAUGGCCAAGUUGGUAAGGCGCGUCACUAGUAGUCGUUUAAGAUUAAAGUUAUGACGAGAUAAUCAGUUCGAAUCUGGUUGAAGGCA